GGUGCUAUUUUCAAUCGGCAUAUCAUUAAUCCAAUUCAAUGACUUAGUGAAGUCAGUGGAAGGAUUGUGAUUUAUUGGUUGAUCUCUUUUCUUCUCUAAAUUCAUCAAUUGAAUCCUCUAAAUUAUUAGGUUCCUAAAAUGAGAUAGUUAUAGUGAAAACUAAAUCAAAGCCUCCUAUUAAGUUGGAUGAUAAUAGAUCCAUUAGUAUGAUGAUUAUUAGAGGUCCAAAGGUCUAGUGCUUAUCUGUUAUUAGGAUUAUCAUUCAUAAUAUGAUAACU
rnacentral:lncRNA from 1 species